UUGUGAAAUUCAAUUAUGCUGA
rnacentral:piRNA from 1 species